CACAUGCAUUGAUCGGCGCAUCUAAGACAUUUUAGGGUGUCGUUUGGUCGUGCAAGUGCACAGAAGAGUAAGCGUAGUCUAAUUUUAAAGAUAACAACCUAAUCUAAGAGCUGAUAUAAAGUUUUUGGCCACUUCUUGCACACGGAAGUAGUAAUUGGAGAAGAAAUGAGACCUAAUUGUUUGUUUGUUUACGCUGAGUUACUGCAGUAUUGGAGAGGAAGGCUGUGCUGCUCUGAUUUCAGCUCUGAGAUCAAACUCACACCUGAGAGAACUGAAUCUGAGCGGUAAUAAACCAGGAGACUCAGGAGUGAAGCUGCGCUCUGCUCUACUGGAGGAUCCACACUGUAAACACAAGACACUGUACAUUUGACAGUGGAAACUUCACAAGCUCCAAACAAGUGAAUCAAAACAACACGUCCUGAACAAGACUGUCACCUGGACAAAUGCAGAUACUGAUCCAGCAGUUUAUAUGUGAAGGAUUUUUGAUAAUAAUUUUCAUUCAGCCUAUUUUUUUUCCAGUCUUCAAAACAAACAAACAGAAAAGUAGAUUGGACAUACUAACUGCACUGUACAAUUUUUUAGUGUGCAAUCACAAUAUAUUUUGGGUUAAUAAUUGCACACAUUUAGUGCACAUUUUAGGACUUUUUAUUUAGAAAACAAAAAGGUUCUAUUCUAGAAAGUCGAACUCUAACUUGGUUCUAUAAGGUUUUAUCUGUGAGCCAAUCAGCUCUUCGAAUGC